UGGGGAAUUUUGGACAAUGGGCGAAAGCCUGAUCCAGCAAUGCCGCGUGUGUGAAGAAGGCCUUCGGGUUGUAAAGCACUUUUGUCCGGAAAGAAAUCCUUGGCUCUAAUACAGUCGGGGGAUGACGGUACCGGAAGAAUAAGCACCGGCUAACUACGUGCCAGCAGCCGCGGUAAUACGUAGGGUGCAAGCGUUAAUCGGAAUUACUGGGCGUAAAGCGUGCGCAGGCGGUUUGCUAAGACCGAUGUGAAAUCCCCGGGCUCAACCUGGGAACUGCAUUGGUGACUGGCAGGCUAGAGUAUGGCAGAGGGGGGUAGAAUUCCACGUGUAGCAGUGAAAUGCGUAGAGAUGUGGAGGAAUACCGAUGGCGAAGGCAGCCCCUGGCCAAUACUGACGCUCAUGCACGAAAGCGUGGGGAGCAAACAGGAUUAGAUACCCUGGUAGUCCACGCCCUAAACGAUGUCAACUAGUUGUUGGGGAUUCAUUUCCUUAGUAACGUAGCUAACGCGUGAAGUUGACCGCCUGGGGAGUACGGUCGCAAGAUU
rnacentral:rRNA from 1 species